UUGACAGUGAGACAUGUCUGCUCCUGGAAGAACCCCACUCUACUUUAAAGGAUAUGAUGAGCACUGAAGAACCUCCAUAUGGAGUUUGCUUCAGAUGUGGCAAAGCUAGCCACCAGGCACCAAAUUGCCCUUGCCUCAACUAUAGACAGCAUGCUGCUCAAACUGGACAAGCAGGACAUGAAGAAAGUCGACUGCUAAGCUUUGCAAGAACAAGGAAAAGAAAAGCUAUGGGUUCCUUCCAAGUUGAUAAAAAUCAGACAUAUCAAAGGGAAACCUCCUGAAGACUUUGGCAAUGGACAAAAAGAACGAGAUUGACAAGAUCAACAAGGUGGUCUUCCGGAGAUCCACAGAAUAUGGCAUUUAAUAUUAUUUCAUCAUCAAAGAUCAUUUGACUAGGAGACAGAUAUGCUCUUGACAGUAUCCCCAUUCCAGUGCAAGGAAGAUAUUGAGCAUCAUUACCUCCAAACAGAGUUGCUUCAAUCAUGGCAAGGUAGCCACUGGGCAAGAAUUGCCCUAAUUCAUCUACAGCCAAAAAUACUGUCUAA